UAAACCGCUUUCAGUUCCGACGAAGGUAACUGACGGUAGGAACAGAAGAAGGACCGCCAACUACGUGCCAGCAGCCGCGGUGAUACGUAGGGUCCGAGCGUGUCCGGGAAUUAUUGGGCGUAAAGGGCUUGUAGGCGGUUUGUCGCGUCGGAAGUGAAAUCUCAGGGCUUAACCCUGAGCGUGCUUCCGAUACGGGCAAACUAGAGGGAUGCAGGGGAGAACGGAAUUCCUGGUGGAGCGGUGGAAUGCGCAGAUAUCAGGAGGAACACCGGUGGCGAAGGCGGUUCUCUGGGCAUUUCCUGACGCUGAGAAGCGAAAGCGUGGGGAGCAAACAGGCUUAGAUACCCUGGUAGUCCACGCCGUAAACGGUGGGCACUAGGUGUGGGGAACAUUCCACGUUCUCCGUGCCGCAGCUAACGCAUUAAGUGCCCCGCCUGGGGAGUACGGCCGCAAGGCUAAAACUCAAAGGAAUUGACGGGGGCCCGCACAAGCGGCGGAGCAUGCGGAUUAAUUCGAUGCAACGCGAAGAACCUUACCUGGGUUUGACAUAUACCGGAAAGCUGCAGAGAUGUAGCCCCCGCAAGGUCGGUAUACAGGUGGUGCAUGGCUGUCGUCAGCUCGUGUCGUGAGAUGUUGGGUUAAGUCCCGCAACGAGCGCAACCCUCGUCCUAUGUUGCCAGCGGAUAAUGCCGGGGACUCAUAGGAGACUGCCGGGGUCAACUCGGAGGAAGGUGGGGAUGACGUCAAGUCAUCAUGCCCCUUAAGUCCAGGGCUUCACGCAUGCUACAAUGGCUGGUACAAAGGGCUGCAAUACCGCAAGGUCGAGCGAAUCCCAAAAAGCCAGUCUCAGUUCGGAUUGGGGUCUGCAACUCGACCCCAUGAAGUCGGAGUCGCUAGUAAUCGCAGAUCAGCAACGCCGCGGUGAAUACGUUCCCGGG
rnacentral:rRNA from 1 species